ensembl:lncRNA
AAACUUCCUGAUGAACUCUCAUUUCACCUGAUUUCCCAGCUGAAGUUGACUUGUAAAGUGCUCCUGCACUUCAAACUGUAGCUGCUGCCCAGAAGAACCCCCCUGGCUGCUGUUUGAUCAGGAAUAUGUCGAUAACAUGCUGGUUUUCUACCUGCUAUCUUUGUAAGACCAACUGAGAUGGUCUUACUUGAAUGGAGAGAUGCAGGAUUCUCAGCGUAGAGGCAGAGCUAAAAUUUAAAUGAAUUAGGGAACUGAGGGAAGAAAUGUUUUCUUAGAUAAUACAAACCCUCCAGCACCUUACUACAACACAAAAGCUGUUCUACCUGCUGUAAAUAACCUGAAAAAAUAGAGUCCUGCAUCUCUCCAUUCAAAGCUCAGCUCAAGGCUAAGGCCACUCUCAGCUUCAGUGCCCUCCCGGUCCUUUCAUCAAUGGGUGUUUGGGCUCAGAAUUAGAAGUCCCACGGGACACGCCUGAGUGGGGCUCUGGACUGAUGCAUUUAUGACCAGUGGGAACAAAUGCUUGAAAGUUAAUACACAAUCUCCUCUCAGAUACCCAGAGAGGAGACAAAAUUUGCUUUAUUGUGACGUCCUUACCCAGACAAAGCUCUCGCUGACGACAACAGAACCUGCAGAUGUCAGCCCCAGAUCGCUUGCAGCAGCUGCUGUUUGGGCACAAGCAGGACUGGAUGGGACUGAUCCCAGGCAGGACUUGAAGCAGAACUAGCUCUUGAAGCAUGCAGGGUUUCCAAGUCCAGUCCCUUUUUCAAAGCCCUUCUGCCUGCUAUCUAAGAUAGCUGAUCACACAGGUGGAGAGAUCCCACAGACACAGGAAAGCACUCAAAAGCACUUGCACAAAUAUGUUCCUUCAGAGAGGACCAAGGACAAAUCGAAGCCAACUGGUAGCAAGGAGACGUACAACAGACUGUCAGUCGUCAGCACGGGGACACGGCAGCACUGCAGAGAAAGGGAGCUCCAGCAAAACGCUGGAGGUCGGGCAGGAGGAGGAAUACCUAGCCUCUCCUCGCAGAGAGCUGUUCUUUUUGAGCUCAUUUACAGGGUGCCAGUGACCAGUAGCCUGCUUCAGUUACUGCUGGCCAAUAAAUGUGAGCACCACAGGGUUCUUCUGAGUGUUUCUUUGGUGGUUUUUCUAUUAUUUUUUUUUUGGGGGGGGAGGGGGGAUUCUUUUUGGUAGCAGGAGUGAGGUCUGCAUUGGCUGGUGCAUGAGAUGGGAUGUGCAAUAUGGAUGCACAGUGUUUUUUUAGCUAGAGGUGUUUCAGGCAGAGUACCACAGCACUUUAUUUUCUAAGGCCAUCAGCUAGACUAGAACACAGCAAAGCUGAGACAAUAUUACUUAAACUGCUUAAAUGAGAGGUGCCUGACUGGUACAGGAGCAAUAAGUCACGCUGUGCUUGCUGGUGGUGCUGUGCCUGUCCCCUGGCCUGGGGCGUCUGGCUUGCUGCUCUCUCCUUCUGUCGGCCAGUUGCUGUCUUCUCAAAUCUCCCUUUUUAUCCUUGCUGCAAAUGAGUGCUUUCAGCCCCGGCAUGCACUUUGCAGCCCCUGGGGUUGGAGCCUUGUGUACCUCGGCUCCAGCACACAGCAGAGAAAGUCUGUCCAGGUUUCAAUAAAUAUUUGACAAACCGGUGCA